rnacentral:lncRNA from 1 species
UUACCGCUCCUCGUGACAAUUGCUUUACAAUGCUCCUUUGGAUUGGUUUGAGUGUUAGCGGAAAAGGAAGAUCCUGCGUUUUGUUCCGACAGUUGCUUCACCAGUUGGCCUACUUGAUUUUCCAGAUUCUUAAUUGCUGCUUCGUUACUCUUCUAAUUUGCCAUGGAAGCUUGCAUGAAUUGUUGAAGAGUGUCCUCUAGCUUGGAACUUCCUCCUUGCGACUGUUGGCCUUGAGAGUUUGGGUGUUGAUAGGGACUUUGUUGCUG